rnacentral:rRNA from 1 species
AGCAGCCGCGGUAAUUCCAGCUCCAAUAGCGUAUAUUAAAGUUGUUGCAGUUAAAAAGCUCGUAGUUGAAUUUCGGGGUCAGCACGUCGGUCGUGCCUCCGGUACGCACUGUCGUCGUUGAUUUCUCCCUUCUGAUGAAACGCGAUGUCAUUAAUUUGGUGUUGCGAGGAGUCAGGACUGUUACUUUGAAAAAAUUAGAGUGUUUAAAGCAGGCAAACGCUUGAAUACAUCAGCAUGGAAUAAUGAAAUAGGACGUUCGAACCUAUUUUGUUGGUUUCUAGGUACAACGUAAUGAUUAAUAGGGAUAGUUGGGGGCAUUAGUAUUCAAUUGUCAGAGGUGAAAUUCUUGGAUUUAUUGAAGACUAACUACUGCGAAAGCAUUUGCCAAGGAUGUUUUCAUUAAUCAAGAACGAAAGUUAGGGGAUCGAAGACGAUCAGAUACCGUCGUAGUCUUAACCAUAAACUAUGCCGACUAGGGAUCGGAUGAAGUUAAUUUUUAAUGACUCAUUCGGCGCCUUAC